rnacentral:misc_RNA from 1 species
GAAAGCAAAUUACAAACAUAAAUGACACUUCCAUUCAUCAAACCAACAUCUUCCUGUCCUUCACGAGCGCCAGCAGCGGAGUCCGCAUCACCACCGUGAACUCCAGCUUGUCGCCAAAGUCCAUGGCGGUCUGCGAGGGGUGUGCGCUCCACUCGAAUGCCUGCACCAUGCGUGCCACCAUCAGCGUGAUGUGGGUCAUUCCCAUGGACAGGCCAGGGCAGACGCGCCGCCCUGCACCGAACGGGAUCAUGCGGAUUCCCUUUGCACCAGUCAUGUCGGCACUCUCGCCCCCAGUCAGAAAUCGUUCUGGGUCGAACUCCAUUGGCUUUUUCCAUAGGCGAGGGUCCUCUGAAAUGGUCGGAAAGAAGAUCUCAAGGUUAGCCCCUGCAGGGAUGUCGUAGCCAGCGAGCUUUGACGUCUCUAUGGCAGCAUGGGUGAGCGAGAAGUAGGUUGGUGGGUGCUUCCGCAGCAGUUCCUUCACGAAUACCUGCAAGAAUUGCAUCUGCUCUGUGUCGGCCUCGUCGACCGGUCGGUCGCCCGCCACUGCUAAGAUCUCAUUGUAUAUCCUUUCCUGCAUCGCGGGGUUCUCAAUUAGCCUGGCGAUGGCCCACUCCAUAGCCGUCGCGGUGGUGUCGGUUCCACCAUUGAUGAACUCCGAACACAAGGUGACUAGCUCAUCAUAUGUCGGAACAGAGUCUCUGCCCUCCACUUUGAGGUCCAAGAGAGAGUCGAGGUAUGAAAAUGGCGCAGCAUUGCUGUAUUCUUUCGGGUUUUCGAGUAUAGCUCGACGUUUCUCAAUUAGAGGCACAACGGUGUUGAUCUGCAACUGCCUCACCUCCAGUGCCUCCUUCCUCUGCUUGGCGAAGAACGGUGCUAGGAGGGGGAGGUAGUCGUCCAUCCUUGGCAUGAGGGUCAUCAGCACCUUCUUCAUAACCUCAUCGACUCGCAUAAUUGACUUCUCGUCAAGCUCGACGCCGAAGCACAUGGAGAGUAGGAUGCAGAAGACGGCAAACCGGACGUUCUUGAGCACCCAGACGGCUCCGCCGGAGGAUUCCGCUUCGGAGCGGAUGCGGUUGAUGAAGCGGUCCAUGGCGGCCAGGCGAGUUGGACGGAACUCACGGAGGCGGGCGUUGCUGAGCAUUCCAGACACCAUGUUGCGGCGGAGGGAGCGCCAUUCAGGGCCGUAGAGGGCGGAGUUGACGGUGAACUUGUCACAGCUGAAGAUGGUGCGGGUGGGGUUCUCAGGUGGCCGGCUGCAGAAGAGUUGGCUCUUCUCUAUUAGGGCUUCGUGGGCGAGCUCAUGGCUGGUGAUGACGAUCAUCGUGCGUGCUCCCAUGCGAAGGGUGAAGAGGGGACCGUAGACGGCGUUGACGUCCCUGACAUAGUGGAUGAAGGCUUUGCCAGAGCGAGCGACUUGGAAGAGGUUUCCGACGAUCGGCCAGCCGGGAGGGCCGGGGGGAAGAUUUAGACGCUUCGAGCUGCGGG